AGAGCUUUAGUUUAAUUAAAAUAUCUGUUUUGCAAGCAGGGGAUGUAAUAUUGCAAGUUCUA
rnacentral:tRNA from 1 species